UAUUCCGUUGUGCAGUCUUUCCAAAUAGC
rnacentral:piRNA from 1 species